AAUUUAUUUUAACAUCUUAAAAUUCUCAAAACAUUUUUUUUUGAAUAAAAGAAUUUAAACUGAUUAUCUUUAUUUGUGUAAAAACUUUCUGAUUUUUUGGAAUUAAAAAGAAAUAAAGAAAAAGAUGGACCGCACGGAAAAUUAUCUAUUAUGCCAUUUUUUCACAAAAAUAAUUCUACUUUGCCACCCAUAUUUAUCUAAUUUUGUUUUCAUUUAAUUUUAAAUAGAAAACCAUGAUGAAUUACUAAAGAACCUUGUGUCUUUAGGAAAUUUACAAGAUCCAACCGCAUAUCCGCGGUUAGAACCGGAUCCGCCCAAGUUCUAAUUGGUUUCCCCUAAAAUCGAAAUAUUUACCCUAACUAUCAAAUGAAAUUUUGUAAAAAAUCGAAUCGACUACCGUAUUCUUCUUCGACCGACAAUUUCGAUCGAAAAACCUUUCUCGUCGAGUAAAUCUCCCUCCCGUCGCCGUAUCUCUCCAAAUCUCUAUCGCCGGAUCUCUCUCCUCUCUUCUUCUUCACCAGUCGCCAUUAUCAUCGCCCUUAGAAUCCGUCGUUUUCCGCGGCCGUUCCAAAUCUCCAUAGCCGGAUUUCUCCUAUUGUUUGUAAGUUCCAUAACGGCGUUUUGUUUUGAAUGCGAACCCUAAUUUCUUUUUUAACCAAAAUUUGGUUGUUGUUUUGCAAGGGAAUUAUGGUUUGUGCAAAGUUAGUCGAUCCUUCAAAUUCGAGUGAGAGUGAAGAUGAGAGGAUCCGUGAUGACACGAUCCGUGAAGCUGAUGUGAACCGAGAAGAAGUGGAAGAGGAAAAAAAAAGUGGAAGAAGAAAGCUGUGAAGAAGAGGAAGAGGAAAAAGAAGUGGAAGAAGAAAACCGUGACGAAUAAAAUCCGGAAAACCUUCACGAAUCGGAAGAAGAAAAAUCUGAAGUAUAUACAAAUAUCUGAAAUUUUUGUUAGGAUAUUGAUAUAGUGUAUAAAGAAAACUAGAAAAUAAUUAGUAUAACUUAUUAGUAUAGGGUUGUGUGAUUGGUGAAUGCAAGGGCGGAUCUACGUAUGGCAAGUAGGGGGAACUUGUCACCUCCAAAUUUUCUAAUUUCCUUAUACACUUCUAAGAAUUUAACAGAUUGUCUCCCUUAAAAAAUUAAUUCUGCCCCCACUAAAAUAACCACUUCUCAAAACUGAAAGUUAUUUCUAAUUUGGCAUUACUUUGUUUCCUUUUUUCCACACAUAAUUUCUUAUUUCUUUAUUACAAUACAAUCAAUAUCUUUUAUCCAACAUAAUUUUUUCAUUUUCCUUUUCUUAAUUGAUUUUUGAAGUUAGAAAAUCAAUAUUUCAUGAUUCGACUAACUACUUUUUUUUUAAUUUUUUGAAGUACUAAAUAGUUAUUAUAUAUAUUUUAUUCUUAAUAAUCAAGUCUUUUAAACAUUUUUUGAGUGAAAAAAUAUUUAUGCUACAAAUAUUUUCAUUUUUUAUAUUUUUGUGGUCCAUGGAAAAGUAUAAUUUUUUCAUUUCAUAAUUUUCUUUUGGAGAUAUCUACUUUUUUAAAAAUAAAAAAGUUGUUAAGUAAAAUUAUUCUUCCAAAUAAUAGUGUAGAAUUGUUUUUAAAAAAAAUAUAUUUUGUUAUUUUUUUGAGAAAA
rnacentral:sRNA from 1 species